UGCGCCUUGCCAGCCCGCUCAGAAACUUAAAGGAAUUGACGGGGGCCCGCACAAGCGGCGGAGCAUGCGGAUUAAUUCGAUGCAACGCGAAGAACCUUACCAAGGCUUGACAUAUACCGGAAACUUCCCAGAGAUGGUUGCCCCUUUUAGGUCGGUAUACAGGUGGUGCAUGGUUGUCGUCAGCUCGUGUCGUGAGAUGUUGGGUUAAGUCCCGCAACGAGCGCAACCCUCGUUCUAUGUUGCCAGCACGUAAUGGUGGGGACUCAUGGAAGACUGCCGGGGUCAACUCGGAGGAAGGUGGGGAUGACGUCAAAUCAUCAUGCCCCUUAUGUCUUGGGCUUCACGCAUGCUACAAUGGCCGGUACAAAGGGCUGCGAUACCGCAAGGUGGAGCGAAUCCCAAAAAACCGGUCUCAGUUCGGAUUGGGGUCUGACAACUCGACCCCAUGAAGUCGGAGUCGCUAGUAAUCGCAGAUCAGCAACGCUGCGGUGAAUACGUUCCCGGGCCUU
rnacentral:rRNA from 1 species